UACGAAGGGGGCUAGCGUUGCUCGGAAUUACUGGGCGUAAAGCGCACGUAGGCGGCUUUCUAAGUCGGGGGUGAAAUCCUGGAGCUCAACUCCAGAACUGCCUUCGAUACUGGAAAGCUCGAGUCCGGGAGAGGUGAGUGGAACUGCGAGUGUAGAGGUGAAAUUCGUAGAUAUUCGCAAGAACACCAGUGGCGAAGGCGGCUCACUGGUCCGAUACUGACGCUGAGGUGCGAAAGCGUGGGGAGCAAACAGG
rnacentral:rRNA from 1 species